CCUACGGGGUGCAGCAGUGAGGAAUAUUGGUCAAUGGCCGCAGGGCUGAACCAGCCAAGUCGCGUGAGGGAUGACGGUCCUAUGGAUUGUAAACCUCUUUUGUCAGGGAGCAAAGGGCGCCACGUGUGGCGUUUUGCGAGUACCUGAAGAAAAAGCAUCGGCUAACUCCGUGCCAGCAGCCGCGGUAAUACGGAGGAUGCGAGCGUUAUCCGGAUUUAUUGGGGUUAAAGGGUGCGCAGGCGGAAUGUCAAGUCAGCGGUAAAAUUUCGGUGCUCAACACCGGCCUGCCGUUGAAACUGGUCUUCUUGAGUGAGCGAGAAGUAUGCGGAAUGCGUGGUGUAGCGGUGAAAUGCAUAGAUAUCACGCAGAACUCCGAUUGCGAAGGCAGCAUACCGGCGCUCAACUGACGCUGAGGCACGAAAGCGUGGGGAUCGAACAGGAUUAGAUACCCUGGUAGUC
rnacentral:rRNA from 1 species